GACGAACGCUGGCGGCAGGCCUAACACAUGCAAGUCGAGCGCGCGGCGGAAGGUUGAGUAAAGUAUGGGGCCUGCCCGAUAGAGGGGGAUAAGUAAAGGAAACGGUAGCUAAUACCGCAUACUAUCGGAUAACCCAUAUGGGAUUAGCUAGUAGGUGAGGUAAUGGACCACCUAGGCGACGAUCCCUAGCUGGUCUGAGAGGAUGAUCAGCCACACUGGGGCUGAGACACGGCCCAGACUCCUACGGAGGCAGCAGUGGGGAAUAUGGCACAAUGGGGGCAAGCCUGAUGCAGCCAUGCCGCGUGUAUGAAGAAGGCCCUAGGGUUGUAAAGUACUUUCAGUCGGGAUGCGUUACCGACAGAAGAAGCACCGGCUAACUCCGUGCCAGCAGCCGCGGUAAUUC
rnacentral:rRNA from 1 species